AGGAUUAAAAUCUAGAAGAACUUGAGCACAAAUAUGGUCCCCAUGAGAAUCUGGUUUGAAGAUGGAAAGAAAAUUCUUUACUGACCACAGAUGGGACUCUGAUUGGACCACCCUGAUUCAAUCAAGCAUGAUACUUCCCCAGUUCAGGACUGCAUUGUCUUCUACCUUAACUACUAGAAAACUUCCAGAAGGAUCUCUGUGCUGUCAGCUCAUUUCUGUCCAAUCCUUUUUCCACUUACUAGCCAACGUAUUGUUUAAAAAAUGUAAAUCUUCACCUGGAAGCAAACUACCUCAACAUAACAAAGGUCAUAUUUCAUCUGUUUUGGGAUGACAUGUCAUUAUAUGUAGAAAAUUCUAAAGAUUCCAUGAAAAACCAUGAAACCUCUAAAUGCAAACUCAGUACGCAAAUAUCAGCAAAUUUCCACGCACUGACAAUUAACAAUAGAAAAAGGAAAUAAGGGGGCCGGCACUGUGGCAUAGUAAGUAAAGCCUCUGCCUGCAGUGCCAGCAUCCCAUAUAGGUGCUCGUUCUAGUCCUGGCUGCUCCAUUUCCGAUCCAGCUCUCUGCUAUGGCCUGGAAAAGCAGUAGAAGAUAGCCUGAGUCCUUGGGCCCCUGCACCCUGUGGGAGACCCAAAAGAAGCUCCUGGCUUCAGAUUGGUGCAGCUCUGGCCGUUGAGGCCAAAUGG